rnacentral:rRNA from 1 species
GGCGAACGCUGGCGGCGUGCCUAAUACAUGCAAGUCGAGCGGAUCUUCAUUAGCUUGCUUUUGAAGAUCAGCGGCGGACGGGUGAGUAACACGUGGGCAACCUGCCUGUAAGACUGGGAUAACUUCGGGAAACCGGAGCUAAUACCGGAUAAUCCUUUUCCUCUCAUGAGGAAAAGCUGAAAGACGGUUUCGGCUGUCACUUACAGAUGGGCCCGCGGCGCAUUAGCUAGUUGGUGAGGUAACGGCUCACCAAGGCGACGAUGCGUAGCCGACCUGAGAGGGUGAUCGGCCACACUGGGACUGAGACACGGCCCAGACUCCUACGGGAGGCAGCAGUAGGGAAUCUUCCGCAAUGGACGAAAGUCUGACGGAGCAACGCCGCGUGAGCGAUGAAGGCCUUCGGGUCGUAAAGCUCUGUUGUCAGGGAAGAACAAGUAUCGGAGUAACUGCCGGUACCUUGACGGUACCUGACCAGAAAGCCACGGCUAACUACGUGCCAGCCGCCGCCGUAAGAC